GGAGAGGUCGCAUAGUGGUCUAGUGCGGCAGUCUUGAAAACUGCUGUCCCGCAAGGGACCGUGGGUUCAAAUCCCACCCUCUCCG
rnacentral:tRNA from 1 species